GCCGCCGUAACACAUGCAAGUCGAACGAAGCACUUUUGAUUGAUUUCCUCGGAAAGAUUUCACUUGUGACUGAGUGGCGGACGGGUGAGUAACGCGUGGGUAACCUGCCUCAUACGGGGGGAUAACAGUUAGAAAUGACUGCUAAUACCGCAUAAGCGCACGGUAUCGCAUGAUACAGUGUGAAAAACUCCGGUGGUAUGAGAUGGAACCGCGUCUGAUUAGCUAGUUGGUGAGGUAACGGCCCACCAAGGCGACGAUCAGUAGCCGGCCUGAGAGGGUGACCGGCCACAUUGGGACUGGGACACGGCCCAAACUCCUACGGGAGGCAGCAGUGGGGAAUAUUGCACAAUGGGCGAAAGCCUGAUGCAGCGACGCCGCGUGAACGAAGAAGUAUUUCGGUAUGUAAAGUUCUAUCAGCAGGGAAGAUAAUGACGGUACCUGACUAAGAAGCACCGGCUAAGUACGUGCCAGCCGCCGCGGUAAGAC
rnacentral:rRNA from 1 species